rnacentral:rRNA from 1 species
GGGUUGUGAGGUUAAGCGACUAAGCGUACACGGUGGAUGCCCUGGCAGUCAGAGGCGAUGAAGGACGUGCUAAUCUGCGAUAAGCGUCGGUGAGGUGAUAUGAAUCGUUAUAACCGGCGAUUUCCGAAUGGGGAAACCCAGUGUGUUUCGACACACUAUCAUUAACUGAAUCCAUAGGUUAAUGAGGCGAACCGGGGGAACUGAAACAUCUAAGUACCCCGAGGAAAAGAAAUCAACCGAGAUUCCCCCAGUAGCGGCGAGCGAACGGGGAGGAGCCCAGAGCCUGAAUCAGUGUGUGUGUUAGUGGAAGCGUCUGGAAAGGCGUGCGAUACAGGGUGACAGCCCCGUACACAAAAAUGCACAUAUUGUGAGCUCGAUGAGUAGGGCGGGACACGUGGUAUCCUGUCUGAAUAUGGGGGGACCAUCCUCCAAGGCUAAAUACUCCUGACUGACCGAUAGUGAACCAGUACCGUGAGGGAAAGGCGAAAAGAACCCCGGCGAGGGGAGUGAAAAAGAACCUGAAACCGUGUACGUACAAGCAGUGGGAGCCUCUUAAUG